GGCGGCGUGCUUAACACAUGCAAGUCGAGCGGAAAGGCCCUUCGGGGUACUCGAGCGGCGAACGGGUGAGUAACACGUGAGCAACCUGCCCUAGGCUUUGGGAUAACCCCGGGAAACCGGGGCUAAUACCGAAUAGGACCUGGCCUCGCAUGAGGCUGGGUGGAAAGUUUUUCGGCCUGGGAUGGGCUCGCGGCCUAUCAGCUUGUUGGUGGGGUGAUGGCCUACCAAGGCGACGACGGGUAGCCGGCCUGAGAGGGCGACCGGCCACACUGGGACUGAGACACGGCCCAGACUCCUACGGGAGGCAGCAGUGGGGAAUAUUGCACAAUGGGCGGAAGCCUGAUGCAGCGACGCCGCGUGAGGGAUGACGGCCUUCGGGUUGUAAACCUCUUUCAGCAGGGACGAAGCGUAAGUGACGGUACCUGCAGAAGAAGCGCCGGCCAACUACGUGCCAGCAGCCGCGGUAAGACGUAGGGCGCGAGCGUUGUCCGGAUUUAUUGGGCGUAAAGAGCUCGUGAGCGGCUUGUCGCGUCGACUGUGAAAACCCGCAGCUCAACUGCGGGCCUGCAGUCGAUAGCGGCAGGCUAGAGUUCGGUAGGGGAGACUGGAAUUCCUGGUGUAGCGGUGAAAUGCGCAGAUAUCAGGAGGAACACCGGUGGCGAAGGCGGGUCUCUGGGCCGAUACUGACGCUGAGGAGCGAAAGCGUGGGGAGCGAACAGGAUUAGAUACCCUGGUAGUCCACGCUGUAAACGUUGGGCGCUAGGUGUGGGGGGCCUCUCCGGUUCUCUGUGCCGCAGCUAACGCAUUAAGCGCCCCGCCUGGGGAGUACGGCCGC
rnacentral:rRNA from 1 species